GAAGGUAUAGCUCAGUGGUAGAGCUCAUGCUUAGCAUUCAUGACGUCCUGGUUUCAAUCCCUAGCACCUCCA
rnacentral:tRNA from 1 species